GACGAACGCUGGCGGCGUGGAUUAGGCAUGCAAGUCGAACGGUAGAUAUCCUUCGGGGUAUUGAGAGUGGCGAACGGGUGAGUAACACGUAGGUAAUCUACCCUCAAAUCGGGGACAACCCAGGGAAACUUGGGCUAAUACCGGAUGAGUGCAGCACCUAAAUCAUCCAUACGGAAUCUGGUUAAGAUUGGGUUUUGUAUGGUUGGGUGAUUUAGGUGCUGUAUAAAAGAUGGCUUCGGCUGUCGUUUGAGGAUGAGCCUGCGCUCUAUUAGUUAGUUGGUGAGGUAAUGGCUCACCAAGGCGAUGAUAGAUAGGCGGCCUUAACGGGUGGUCGCCCUACACUGGGAUUGAGAUACGGCCCAGACUCCUACGGGAGGCAGCAGUCGAGAAUAGUCUACAAUGGACGAAAGUCUGAUAGUGCGACGCCGCGUGAACGAUGAAUCCCUUCGGGGUGUAAGUUCUUUAUAUGUGAGCAAUGCCUUAUAUGUGAAUAGC
rnacentral:rRNA from 1 species